rnacentral:rRNA from 1 species
UUUCGCAAUGCCCGAAAGGGUGACGAAGCGACGCCGCGUGUGGGAAGAAGGCCUUCGGGUUGUAAACCACUGUCGGGAGUUAAGAAAUGCAAGGAUAUUAAUAGUGUCUUUGUUUGACUAAGGCUCCGGAGGAAGCCACGGCUAACUCUGUGCCAGCAGCCGCGGUAAUACAGAGGCGGCAAGCGUUGUUCGGAAUUAUUGGGCGUAAAGAGCACGUAGGCGGCUAUGUAAGUCGGUUGUGAAAGCCUUCCGCUCAACGGAAGAACAGCAUCCGAUACUACAUGGCUUGAGUGCGGGAGGGGAGAGUGGAACUUCUGGUGGAGCGGUGAAAUGCGUAGAUAUCAGAAGGAACGCCGGCGGCGAAAAGCGGCUCUCUGGCCCAUAACUGACGCUGAGUGUGCGAAAGCUAGGGGAGCAAACGGGAUUAGAUACCCCGGUAGUCCUAGCCGUAAACGAUGGGCACUAAGUAGAGGGGUUUU